CAGAUUUAAGGAGUGAAAUACACAGAGUACACAGAUGGAUAUUUGCAAUGUUAUGUUGAAAAUACUGCUCCAGAUCUCAAGUUUAGGAACGAAAGAUCCUGUUCUGGCACCUGAGCAGCUGAGUAGGAGGUUCCUGAUCUCCUUACACAUUGAGCAGUGGGAGCUGUACCCGAUCUGCCAGCUACAUGAGUGAACCCCGUCUCUCUGGCCUGGAGAGGUUUGGACAUAACGUCAUCCCUGCUGCUGUGCCUGGGGGCUUGCCCAUAGGAAACUGGAGCAGCAUUUAUCCUCUAAGAGCUUCCUGUGGGAGUCAUUCCUCUUCUCAACUCACAUACCCCUGCUGCUAGGACAGAGGUGGGUUUUCCCUCCCAGCUCCUCAUCCUCUUCUCCAUGCAGGUAAAACCACAGGUUACC